rnacentral:lncRNA from 1 species
AUAGUUUACGCUAAUAUCGAACGGGAUAUCGAGGCGAUGGUAUGUUUGGCGUCCAGGAAUCCCUAUGGACCCUAGAGGUACUAGUAAACAAGUAAGGAGGUAAGUCUACUGUUCAUUGUUCAUGUAAAUGUGUAACAAAAAUGAUAUUCAGAUUAUUGUCUUUAUAAUUCAGUUUUUGAGAAACUCGUAACGGUAAGUAUCAAACAAACAUUUUAAAGUUAAAAGUAUUUAAUUAAAACAAUGGCUCCAUUAGUUUUUUUAUUUUUUAUUUUUAAUAACUUUCAAUUUUUCGUAUCAGUGAGUAGUGUGAUAUUUUUAUUGGACUAGUGUAGCUCAUCCUUUCAUUAACCAUUUCAGAUCAAGAGGAUCAGGAUCCAGACCCCGAUCAAUAAGAAGGCUGUGAGUAGUUUACCUUCUGGACUCCUUCAAGAGCUAGUGGAGCUUAACUCUAUGAUAUUUAUCUAUUUAUUUUAAAUCAUUUAUUUACUUUUUU